CAUCGCUCAACGGAUAAAAGGUACUCCGGGGAUAACAGGCUGAUACCGCCCAAGAGUUCAUAUCGACGGCGGUGUUUGGCACCUCGAUGUCGGCUCAUCACAUCCUGGGGCUGAAGUAGGUCCCAAGGGUAUGGCUGUUCGCCAUUUAAAGUGGUACGCGAGCUGGGUUUAGAACGUCGUGAGACAGUUCGGUCCCUAUCUGCCGUGGGCGCUGGAGAACUGAGGGGGGCUGCUCCUAGUACGAGAGGACCGGAGUGGACGCAUCACUGGUGUUCGGGUUGUCAUGCCAAUGGCACUGCCCGGUAGCUAAAUGCGGAAGAGAUAAGUGCUGAAAGCAUCUAAGCACGAAACUUGCC
rnacentral:rRNA from 1 species